rnacentral:misc_RNA from 1 species
UUUCUUCAUCAAAUCUGAUUUAAAUGGAUUUGAAUGGAUUUGCAUGGAUUUGGAUUGAUUUGAAUGGAUUUAAAUGGAUUUGUAUUGCCUAGUGAGAGUAUGAAAGAACUUCAGAAGAUAUUUCGUCUUGUUCUUAAUCCUGAUUCUACAUACUUCAUACCUAAUAAAUACAUUAUGAACAGGCUUCUGGAGUGCGCUAAGCUAUUUUCUCUAGAGCCUGAGCCGCCUGGAGUUUGCCCAUUGGUUUUUGAUUCAUGGUCCUGUUUCAGAGCAACUCCCCAAAAUACAGUUCAGUACUCGUCAUGUCCCCAGAUAUAUCAGCUGAAUUAUAGGGAGGAAAACUUAGCUGAGAAGUUUUGUACAAGUAAUGGAACCUGGUGGAUUCACCCUGUAUCUAAUAGAACCUGGAGUAACUAUACAGGGUGUGUAGACCAAGCAGAUUAUAGGUUCAGAACAAUUAUGACUUCAAUAAGUUUGACAGGUUUAUGGAUUUCUCUCAUGUUCCUUCUAAUUGCUUUGACAGUGUUCACGACCUGUCGAUCCUUGCACUGUGGACGAGUGACGAUGCACAUCAACCUCCUCCUCUCUCUUGCCCUCAGCAACAUAUUCUGGUUGAUCUGGUACUACACCGUCAUAUUCGAGAUCAGUGUUUGGUCUGAGAAUCUAGUCUGGUGCAGAGGGUUACAUCUCCUCGUUACAUACUUUACAAUGACAACAUACUUCUGGAUGCUUUGCGAAGGAACAUAUCUUCAGCUUCUACUCAUGAACACAUUCCAGGUUGGAAAGAAUACGGUUCGGAGUUUGAUUUUCCUUGGUUGGGUUUUACCUUCUAUCUUCAUCAUACCCUACGCCAACUAUAAACAGACUUUUGAGAAUGAGAACUGCUGGAUGGAUUACGGAGUGAGCAGAUGGUUUCUAGGUGUUCCAGUUGCAGUUGCAGUGAUCAUCAAUGCCUUAAUCCUUUGUAACGUAAUAAGGAUUUUAAGAGGAAAACUGAAUAUAAGUUCUCCAAUUCAGUCCACGCAUGGAGGUGUUCCUAGGUCCAACAGUUACAGCCGAGCUAAUGCUGCGACACUUCAACAGGCUAAAGCAGUUUUUAUUUUGAUUCCUAUUCUUGGAACACAUUUUAUCAUGAUUCCUAGUCGACCUGAGGAGGGAACAGAGUUUGAAUAUGUGUAUGAAGUCAUCUCUUGUUUAUCCUCAUCCUUUCAGGGUAUUAUUGUCUCUGUUCUGCUGUGCUUUUAUAACUCUGAGGUUACUACACUUAUAUCCAGGAGGAUGCAACAAUUCAAGUUGACCCACGGGUUUACAGCCUACCAGGGAUCCUUAAGAGCUCAGAGAAUGUAUCCAGAUGUCGGCCUCGAAAUGAAUCCGAUCCCUGCAAUACAAGAUAACGUCGAGAUGCAGGGCAGAAUGUCGUCUUCUGGCCCUGAAGAUUCUGUGGUUCGUAUUCUUCGAACUCUUGAGACCACAUCAUCUAUAUCUGAUAGAUCACACCAUAUACAUUCUACUCCGGAGAGGUCACACCAUAAACAUUCUACUCCGGAGAGGUCACACCAUAUACAUUCUACUCCGGAGAGGUCAAACCACAUACAUUCUAUACCCUAGAGGUCACACCAUGUACAUUCUAUACACUAGAGGUCACACCAUGUACAUUCUAUACCCUAGAGGUCACACCAUGUACAUUCUAUACCCCAAAGACUUUGCUAAUUAGCAAAGUCUUUGCUAUACCCUAGAGGUCACACCAUGUACAUUCUAUACGCUAGAGGUCACACCAUAUACAUUCUAUACCCUAGAGGUCACAACAUAUACAUUUUAUACCCUAGAGGUCACACCAUAUACAUUCUAUACUCUAGAGGUCACACCACAUACAUUCUACACCCUAGAGGUCACACCUCAUACAUUCUACACCCUAGAGGUCACACCAUAUACAUUCUAUACCCUAGAGGUCACACCAUAUACAUUCUAUACCUUAGAGGUCACACCAUAUACUUUCUAAUUAGAGGUCACACCAUAUACAUUCUACACCCUAGAGGUCACACCAUUAUACAUUCUAUACCCUAGAGGUCACACCAUGUACAUUAUAUACCCUAGAGGUCACACCAUAUACAUUCUAUACCCUAGAGGUCACACCAUAUACAUUCUAUACCCUAGAGGUCACACCAUAUACAUUCUACACACUAGAAGUCACAAUGUCCACAUUCUACACCCUAGAGGUCACAAUAUCUACGUUCUACACCCUAGAUGUCACAAUAUCUACAUUCUACACUCUAGAGGUCACAAUAUCUACAUUCUACACACUAGAGGUCACAAUAUCUACAUUCUACACUCUAGAGGUCACAAUAUCUACAUUCUACACCCUAGAGGUCACAAUAUCUACAUUCUACACCCUAGGUGUCAUAACAUAUACAUUCUACACCCACGAGGUCACAACAUAUACAUUCUACACCCUAGAGGUCACAACAUAUACAUUCUAAGCCUAGAGGUCACAAUAUCUACAUACUACACCCUAGGUGUCAUAACAUAUACAUUCUACACCCAAGAGGUCACAACAUAUACAUUCUACACACUAGAGGCCACAACAUAUACAUUCUAAGCCUAUAGGUCACAAUAUCUACAUUCUACACCCUAGAGGUCACAACAUAUAAAUUCUACACUCUAGAGGUCAUAACAUUAACUUUCUAUAAUUUAGAGGUCAAAAUUUGGUAUAUAUUUGCAGUACAGUUAGUAAAUUCUAAACAGUACGAAGUCUGCACCGUAAACAUGCAGAAAGUACAUCAAUAUCAUCACAUGAUAGUUUCUCCAUGAAGUGUUUUUAUGUAAAAUAAGUCAUGUCCAAUUAAUUAAUCAAUUUAAUGUUGUCUUUUAUUAAUCAUGUGAUUCGCCCUUUUAUAUAAAAUAGUGCUUGAAUAUUUUAGAAAUAUAUCCGUUAAAACAA